UACGAAGGGGGCGAGCGUUGUUCGGAAUCACUGGGCGUAAAGCGCACGUAGGUGGAUUGCUAAGUCAGGGGUGAAAUCCUGGAGCUCAACUCCAGAACUGCCCUUGAUACUGGCGGUCUCGAGUCCGGGAGAGGUGAGUGGAACUGCGAGUGUAGAGGUGAAAUUCGUAGAUAUUCGCAAGAACACCAGUGGCGAAGGCGGCUCACUGGCCCGGUACUGACGCUGAGGUGCGAAAGCGUGGGGAGCAAACAGG
rnacentral:rRNA from 1 species